AGCUGGGUAACAAAAUAAAUCGAUUUUUGCUCAAUCUCAAGUAGAAUUAUAUAAAUAUUGCACUUAUUACAGUAUUGUACAAUAUAUCAUGCGGUAACAGUAUCACAUAUUUGAAUAAUAAUGCUAAGGAUUUCACAGUGCAUCAGUUUAAAAAGAAUGUACUAUUUGCUUAUUGUGUUUGGUGUUCUUCAGCCUAUAAUACAAUGCUACAUAAUUAACGGUAGAAGAGACGCAGACCCUCGUCUAGUAAAGAACGCAGCUAAACCUGCAAUCUUCGGUUCAUAUAGUUACGAUCCAGUGAAGCGAAUAUUUGUUACGCCCCUCCCAGAAGAUAGAGUCUAUAAAUCAACCGAGACCAGCCCCCCUGAAACGACUACUAAAUCCUUCAGUGACUGCCUAGGAACAGAAGCAGGAGGAAGAAACACGCCAGGAACAUAAACUAGGCACUCUCAAUGACUGUCAUCCAGUAUAUAGGAAACAUGUUACCAUUGAUUUAAAGAGGAAUUAACAUAGCCACCUUAUAAUAGAGAAGUAGGUGGCAAUAAACCUACCAAUAUCUAAUCCUACUUCUUACUGGGUAAUAUUAUAAAUGUAAAUGUUGUGAAUUUGUGCGUAUGUUUGUCACUCAAUCACGUCAAAUAGCUUAAGAGAUCGGGAUGAAAUUUGGAACAGGGGUACAUCAUGGUCUGGAACAACCCCUAAACUACAUUUUAUCCCACGAGAAUGUGGGCAAAGGCGCUGGCAGAAACUAGUAAUAUAAUUAUAAUAUGCAUUAACGUAAAUUGGCAAAAAUUAUAUUAAAGGUAAUAAUAUAGGUAUAAAACAUC